rnacentral:rRNA from 1 species
UCCACGCCGUAAACGAUGUCAACUAGCCGUUGGGUCUAUUUAUAGACUUAGUGGCGGAGCUAACGUAUUAAGUUGACCGCCUGGGGAGUACGGCCGCAAGGUUAAAACUCAAAUGAAUUGACGGGGGCCCGCACAAGCGGUGGAGCAUGUGGUUUAAUUCGAUGCAACGCGAAGAACCUUACCUACCCUUGACAUGUAGUGAACUUACCAGAGAUGGUUUGGUGCCUUCGGGA